rnacentral:lncRNA from 1 species
AGUCGACACAGGUGCGGAUUGUGGGGAUGGAACUGUUUGUUGAGAAAAAGGUGGUAAAGGUGAUAAAGUAGGUGUAUUAUGUAUUACAUUAUGGGAAGCAGAUUGUGAGUGAGACAUUGAAUGUGAUGGAAAAGGUGUAGUGGAGGUAGGUGUUGAAUGUGAUGGGAUAGGUGUAGUGGAGGUAGGUGGCGUAUUUGGUGGAGGUGUAGGCAAAGUGCUAGAACACGAAACAUGAGGUGAAGGAACAACUAAAAGUUUAGCACUAACUUGUGGACUAGAAAUAGGUGAUGUGACUGGUGAAUAAUGACUUAUGUAUGGAAAAGUAGUUUCAUUAAAGGUGACAUGACGGGUGACAUAGACUUUGCCAUUGGGGUCUUUACAUUUAUAACCUUUAUGUACUGAGGAGUAACCUAGAAAAACACAGGGUAUUGAACGAAAUUGCAGCUUUGUUUUUGUGAACGGCCUAAGAUUUGGAAAACACAAGCAGCCAAAAGUUCGAAGAAAAGAAUAAUCAGGUUUCGUUUUAAACAAUUGCUCAUAUGGGGAUAUAUUACCUAGAGGUUGAGAUGGUAAUCGGUUAACCAGAAACACAGCACUACAGAAGGCUUCAUUCCAAAAACUUAAUGGCAUGGUGGCAUGAGCUAACAUAGACAAGCCUGUUUCAACCACCUGACGAUGCUUGCGUUCAACAAGUCCAUUUUGAGCAGACGUGUAUGGACAGGUGAAGCGAUGCAGUAUUCCUUGCUGAGCUAAAUAAUUUUUUAACACUUGAAACUCCCCUCCUCCAUCUGUUUGCAGAACUUUAAGUUUUGCACCCAACACUCUCUCAGCUUGGCGAUGGAACUGUGGAAAAAUACCAGCAACAUCAGAUUUGUUCUUCAAAAAAUAGAGCCAUGUAUAGCGCGAGUAAGCGUCAGUAAAUGCAACAUAAUAGCGAAACCCAUUAGACACAACCGGAGCGGGCCCCCAAACAUCGGCAACAACCAAUUGUAGAGGAGCAGUAUAAACCGUGCUGGACUU